GAUUAACGCUGGCGGCGUGCAUAACACAUGCAAGUCGAACGAUGAAACUUAGUAGACUUCUUCGGAAAGACACUAAGCGGAUUAGUGGCGAACGGGUGAGUAACGCGUGAGUAACCUGCCUUACACAAGGGGAUAGCCUUUGGAAACGAAGAAUAAUACCCUAUAAAACCAUAAAAGCACAUGCUAGAAUGGUCAAAGUGAUAGCGGUGUAAGAUGGACUUGCGUCUGAUUAGCUAGUUGGUGAGAUAAAAGCUCACCAAGGCAACGAUCAGUAGCCGGCUUGAGAGGGUGUACGGCCACAUUGAGACUGAGACACGGCCCAGACUCCUACGGGAGGCAGCAGUGGGGAAUUUUGCACAAUGGGGGAAACCCUGAUGCAGCGACGCCGCGUGAUUUAGAAGGCCUUCGGGUUGUAAAAAUCUUUUGUAUAGGAAGAAAAUGACAGUACUAUACGAAUAAGGUCCGGCUAAUUACGUG
rnacentral:rRNA from 1 species